GGGGAAUUAUUUCAAUUGGUAGAAUACUGCCCUUGCAAGGCAGAGACACGAGUUCAAAUCUCGUAUUCUCCACCA
rnacentral:tRNA from 1 species